rnacentral:rRNA from 1 species
CCUACGGGAGGCAGCAGUGAGGAAUAUUGGUCAAUGGACGCAAGUCUGAACCAGCCAAGCAGCGUGAAGGAAGACGGCUCUAUGAGUUGUAAACUGCUUUUGUACGAGGGUAAACGGAGAUACGAGUAUCUUUCUGAAAGUAUCGUACGAAUAAGGAUCGGCUAACUCCGUGCCAGCAGCCGCGGUAAUACGGAGGAUUCAAGCGUUAUCCGGAUUUAUUGUGUUUAAAGGGGGCGUAGGCGGUCUGAUAAGUUAGAGGUGAAAUCCCGAGGCUCAACUUCGGAAUUGCAUCUGAUACUGGUCGGCUAGAGAGUAGUUGCGGUAGGCGGAAUGUAUGGUGUAGCGGUGAAAUGCUUAGAGAUCAUGCAGAACACCGAUUGCGAAGGCAGCUUACCAAGCUACUUCUGACGUUGAUGCACGAAAGCGUGGGUAGCAAACAGGAUUAGAUACCCCUGUAGUC